rnacentral:rRNA from 1 species
UACGGAGGAUGCAAGCGUUAUCCGGAAUCAUUGGGCGUAAAGCGUCCGCAGGUGGCAAUGUAAGUCUGCUGUUAAAGAGUCUAGCUCAACUAGAUACAAGCAGUGGAAACUACAUAGCUAGAGUACGUUCGGGGCAGAGGGAAUUCCUGGUGUAGCGGUGAAAUGCGUAGAGAUCAGGAAGAACACCGGUGGCGAAGGCGCUCUGCUAGGCCGUAACUGACACUGAGGGACGAAAGCUAGGGGAGCGAAUGGG